rnacentral:rRNA from 1 species
AGUGAACGCUGGCGGUAGGCCUAACACAUGCAAGUCGAACGGCAGCACAGUAAGAGCUUGCUCUUACGGGUGGCGAGUGGCGGACGGGUGAGGAAUACAUCGGAAUCUACUUUUUCGUGGGGGAUAACGUAGGGAAACUUACGCUAAUACCGCAUACGACCUACGGGUGAAAGCAGGAGAGCUUCGGACCUUGCGCGAUUGAAUGAGCCGAUGUCGGAUUAGCUAGUUGGGGGGGUAAAGGCCCACCAAGGCGACGAUCCGUAGCUGGUCUGAGAGGAUGAUCAGCCAAACUGGAACUGGGACACGGUCCAGACUCCUACGGGAGGGAGCAGUGAGGAAUAUUGGACAAUGGGCGCAAGCCUGAUCCAGCCAUACCGCGUGGGUGAAGAAGGCCUUCGGGUUCUAAAGCCCUUUUGUUGGGAAAGAAAAGAAGCAGGUUAAUACCCCGCUGUUCUGACGGUACCCAAAGAAUAAGCACCGGCUAACUUCGUG